rnacentral:rRNA from 1 species
UGAGGCGAACGAGGGGAACUGAAACAUCUAAGUACCCUUAGGAAAAGAAAUCAACCGAGAUUCCCCAAGUAGCGGCGAGCGAACGGGGAUUAGCCCUUAAGUCUUUGGGGUGUUAGUGGAAUGUGUUGGAAAGCACAGCGGCACAGGGUGAUAGCCCCGUACACGUAAACUAACCAGAGAUGAAAUCGAGUAAGGCGGCACACGUGAUAUGUUGUCUGAAUAUGGGGGGACCAUCCUCCAAGGCUAAAUACUCCUGACUGACCGAUAGUGAACCAGUACCGUGAGGGAAAGGCGAAAAGAACCCCUGUGAGGGGAGUGAAAUAGAACCUGAAACCGUAUACGUACAAGCAGUGGAAGCGGU